UACGGGGGGGGCAAGCGUUGUUCGGAAUUACUGGGCGUAAAGGGCUCGUAGGCGGCCAACUAAGUCAGACGUGAAAUCCCUCGGCUUAACCGGGGAACUGCGUCUGAUACUGGAUGGCUUGAGUUUGGGAGAGGGAUGCGGAAUUCCAGGUGUAGCGGUGAAAUGCGUAGAUAUCUGGAGGAAUACCGGUGGCGAAGGCGGCAUCCUGGACCGGCAUUGACGCUGAGUGAGCGAAAGCUAGGGGAGCAAACGGG
rnacentral:rRNA from 1 species